rnacentral:rRNA from 1 species
GAGUUUGAUCAUGGCUCAGAACGAACGCUGGCGGCAUGCCUAACACAUGCAAGUCGAACGAGAUCUUCGGAUCUAGUGGCGCACGGGUGCGUAACGCGUGGGAAUCUGCCCUUGGGUUCGGAAUAACAGUUAGAAAUGACUGCUAAUACCGGAUGAAGUCUUCGGACCAAAGAUUUAUCGCCCAGGGAUGAGCCCGCGUAAGAUUAGGUAGUUGGUGGGGUAAAGGCCUACCAAGCCGACGACCUUUAGCUGGUCUGAGAGGAUGAUCAGCCACACUGGGACUGAGACACGGCCCAGACUCCUACGGGAGGCAGCAGUGAGGAAUAUUGGACAAUGGGCGCAAGCCUGAUCCAGCAAUGCCGCGUGAGUGAUGAAGGCCUUAGGGUCGUAAAGCUCUUUUACCCGGGAUGAUAAUGACAGUACCGGGAGAAUAAGCCCCGGCUAACUCCGUGCCAGCAGCCGCGGUAAUACG